rnacentral:lncRNA from 1 species
UAUGGGCACGGUGGGGAUGGGAGGAGGUUGGACUUGGGGGUGUUGGAGGAUCUUUCCAACCUGGAUGGUUCUAUGGGCACGGUGGGGAUGGGAGGGGGUUGGACUUGGGGGUCUUGGAGGACCUUCCCAACCUGGAUGGUUCUGUGGGCACGGAGGCGAUGGGUUGGGGUCAGACUUGGGGGUCUUGGAGGAUCUUUCCAACCUGGAUGGUUCUAUGGGCACGGCAGCAAUGGAAGGGUGUCGGACUUCGGGGUCAGACUUGGGGGUCUUGGAGGACCAUCCCAACCUGGAUGGUUCUGUGGGCAUGGUGGGGAUGGGUUGGGGUUGGACUUGGGGGUCUUGGAGGACUUUUCCAACCGUGAUGGUUCCAUGGCCAUGGUGGGGAUGGGUACGUGGGCAUGGUGGGGAUGUGCAGCACGCAGCACGCAGCACACAGCAGCAUGCAGCACCCAGCACGCAGCACAUAGCAUGCAGCAGCACCCAGCACCCAGCAUGCAGCAGCACCCAGCACGCAGCACCCAGCACGCAGCACGCAGCACCCAGCAUGCAGCACCCAGCACCCAGCAGCACCCAGCACCCAGCACGAAGCACACAGCACCCAGCACCCACGCAGCAUGCAGCAGCACACAGCACCCAGCACGCAGCAGCACCCAGCACCCAGCAUGCAGCAGCACCCAGCACGCAGCACCCAGCACGCAGCACCCAGCACCCAGCACGAAGCACACAGCAUGCAGCACCCAGCACCCAGCACCCAGCACGCAGCACCCAGCACGCAGCACCCAGCAC